UGGUCUUUGUUUGCGACCCAUACG
rnacentral:miRNA from 1 species